rnacentral:rRNA from 1 species
ACACUCCUGCGGGAGGCAGCAGUGGGGAAUAUUGCACAAUGGGCGCAAGCCUGAUGCAGCCAUGCCGCGUGUAUGAAGAAGGCCUUCGGGUUGUAAAGUACUUUCAGCGGGGAGGAAGGUGUUGAGGUUAAUACCUCAGCAAUUGACGUUACCCGCAGAAGAAGCACCGGCUAACUCCGUGCCAGCAGCCGCGGUAAUACGGAGGGUGCAAGCGUUAAUCGGAAUUACUGGGCGUAAAGCGCACGCAGGCGGUCUGUCAAGUCGGAUGUGAAAUCCCCGGGCUCAACCUGGGAACUGCAUUCGAAACUGGCAGGCUAGAGUCUUGUAGAGGGGGGUAGAAUUCCAGGUGUAGCGGUGAAAUGCGUAGAGAUCUGGAGGAAUACCGGUGGCGAAGGCGGCCCCCUGGACAAAGACUGACGCUCAGGUGCGAAAGCGUGGGGAGCAAACAGGAUUAGAAACCCCUGUAGUCCCAUG